UGUUGUGUUUGGUGCAAUUUGUUUGGCGCCGAUAAGUCGGUCUUACGGGAAUGUUUUCUCCUGGUGGUGGUCCAUCGUGAGAACAUUCCGGUGGACAUUCCGGCAGCGGAGACUCUAAAUUAUUACAAAAUUGGAGGCAGCGGCGAUCAUCAUCAUCAUCAUCAUCAUCGAUCGCAAGAAUAACUACAACCGAGGUGGUUGCUAACAGUCGCGACGGCGUUUGCAGUAGACACCCGGAUCAGCAGCAGCACCUGCAGUAGGAUUUGUUUCCCCAGGAUCAUUUGCCACAAAAUGAGUUUCCGGAAAGUGGUUGUGUCAGCCUUCCCGUCGGCAAACCUUUAACGAUGAUGGUCCCAGAGUUUUCGUGAUUACCGUCUGCCGGAGAACGACUUUGGCAUGAUCACCGGGCCAACGGAGGAUUUGACGGUGGAUACAGGAACGAUGCAAGUGGGUAGACGAUGAAAUGACUGCGACGGAAGAGGUCGAUCUACUCCCAAACUCGCUAACGCGCCGGACGAUGUUCUGUACUGCCUCCUCCCGAGCCAGGUGUGCAUCUCCCAGUUGCAGUCAGGCGUUUUGCGACAACGGCGUCGAAACGAAAAGUUCAAGUUCCGUCUGGAGAUUCCGACAAUUGAGCUGGAAGCCGCUAACGUUGCCGGUGCGGAUCGUACCCGAUCAGCGAUACGAAAACGUCCACCGAGCCCGAUACGUUCGAGAGUAGAAUUUGGCUAGGCCAUCUCGGAGUUGUAGGUGCUUCCCGGUGGUGAGUCCGAGUUCAACGAGAAGGCCACCUUCAUCUACGUGGCGUUAAAGAGACAAACGUUCCAAAUCAGGCCGGUCCACGAUUUAUGAAUGAAUUUGCUUUGAAAUAUAAACUAAGGUAUAAAAUA